rfam:Triticum aestivum genome assembly, contig: Triticum_aestivum_CS42_TGACv1_scaffold_423213_5BS
CACAUACUCCCUCAAUCCGAAAUCAUUUGUCGCAUAAAUGGUUAAAAGUGGAUGUAUCUAGAACUAAAAUACAUCUAGAUACAUCCAUUUCUCCUACAUGUAUUUCCGGACGGAGAGAGUAGUAU